rnacentral:tRNA from 1 species
GCGGCCGUAACUCAGUUGGUAGAGUGCCUGCCCUCCAAGCAGGUUUGUGCGGGUUCGAGCCCCGCCGGUCGCUCCA